rnacentral:sRNA from 1 species
GCCGGGUGUGGUGGCCCACGCCUGUCAUCCCAGCAGCUCGGGAGGCUGAGGCAGGAGGAUCUCGAGUUCAAAGCCAGCCUCAGCAACUCAGGGAGAUACUAAGCAACUCAGUGAGACCCUGUCUCUA